rnacentral:rRNA from 1 species
UACGUAGGCAGCAAGCGUUGUCCGGAGUUACUGGGCGUAAAGGGUGCGUAGGCGGUUGUUUAAGUUUGGUGUGAAAUCUCCCGGCUCAACUGGGAGGGUGCGCCGAAUACUGAAUGACUCGAGUGCGGGAGAGGAGAGUGGAAUUCCUGGUGUAGCGGUGAAAUGCGUAGAUAUCAGGAGGAACACCGGUGGUGUAGACGGCUCUCUGGACCGUAACUGACGCUGAGGCACGAAAGCGUGGGUAGCAAACAGG